rnacentral:rRNA from 1 species
CAUUCACUUUAAAAAUAAUUCAACUAUUGCUCAUUCCGCCUUGUGCUCUUUAAGACUCCGAAUAUGGGAGGACCAUCUUCCAAGGCUAAAUACUCCUCAAAGACCGAUAGUGAACUAGUACUGUGAAGGAAAGGUGAAAAGCAUUUCGAAUAGAAAGUUGAAAUAGAACCUGAAACCGUACGCCUACAAGCGGUCGGAGCACGUAAGUGUGACGGCGUGCCUUUUGCAUAAUGAGCCUACGAGUUAAUGUUGCUGGCAAGGUUAAGCACUUCAGGUGCGGAGCCGUAGCGAAAGCGAGUCUGAAUAGGGCGUUAGAGUCAGUAGUAUUAGACGCGAAACCUUGUGAUCUACCCAUGGGCAGGUUGAAGCUUUGGUAACACAAAGUGGAGGACCGAACCGGUUGACGUUGAAAAGUCUUCGGAUGACUUGUGGGUAGGGGUGAAAGGCCAAUCAAACUCGGAAAUAGCUCGUACUCCCCGAAAUGCAUUUAGGUGCAGCGCUGGGUAUAAGUUAUAUAGAGGUAGAGCUACUGAUUGGAUGCGGGGGCUUCACCGCCUACCAAUUCCUGACAAACUCCGAAUGCUAUAUAAUGUUUACCAGCAGUGAGGGCAUGGGUGCUAAGGUCCAUGUCCGAGAGGGAAAGAACCCAGACCAUCAGCUAAGGUCCCCAAAUGUAUGCUAAGUUGAAAAAACGAGGUUUGUCUGCCCAGACAGCUAGGAUGUUGGCUUGGAAGCAGCCAUUCAUUUAAAGAGUGCGUAACAGCUCACUAGUCGAGCGGUUCGGCAUGGAUAAUAAUCGGGCAUAAGUAUAGUACCGAAGCUAUGGAUUUAUAACUUUUGAGUUAUAUCUGGUAGGGGAGCAUUCUAUUUGCGCCGAAGCAGUAUCGUGAGGUAUUGUGGAGCGGAUAGAAAAGAAAAUGUAGGCAUAAGUAACGAUAAAGCGGGCGAGAAACCCGCUCACCGAAAGACUAAGGUUUCCUCAGCCAUGCUAAUCAGCUGAGGGUUAGUCGGGACCUAACGCGAACCCGAAAGGGGAAGUGGAUGGACAAUGGGUUAAUAUUCCCAUACUUGCUCACACUAAAAAGGGGACGGAUUUACGUACUUGCUGGAGACUGACGGAAUAGUCAAGGCCUAGCCUUCGGGCGAAGCUGCUGCAGGGAAAUAGAUUCCAAGAAAAGCCGAAGUGAAGCAACCCGUACCAAAACCGACACAGGUAGUCGAGGAGAGAAUCCUAAGGUGCUAGAGUGAAUCAUGGUUAAGGAACUAGGCAAAAUAGUCUCGUAACUUCGGAAGAAGAGACGCCAUCAGCAAUGGUGGCCGCAGUGAAGAGGCCCAGGCGACUGUUUAUCAAAAACACAGGACUCUGCUAAAUCGAAAGAUGCUGUAUAGGGUCUGACACCUGCCCGGUGCUGGAAGGUUAAGGAAGGUUGUUAGCGUAAGCGAAGCAAUUAACUGAAGCCCCAGUAAACGGCGGCCGUAACAAUAACGGUCCUAAGGUAGCGAAAUUCCUUGUCGGGUAAGUUCCGACCUGCACGGAAAUGGCGUAA